GGGGCUAUAGCUCAGUUGGUAGAAUGCCUGCCUUGCAUGCACAAGGCCCUGGGUUCAAUUCCCAUCACCCCCA
rfam:Ictidomys tridecemlineatus contig092734, whole genome shotgun sequence.